CGCACAUUGCGCCCUUUGGUAUUCCGAGGGGCAUGCCUGUUCGAGCGUCAUUUACACCCUCAAGCUCUGCUUGGUCUUGGAGGCCGCCCUGGGGCGCCUUCGAAACACAGCGGCGACGUAGCCGGACUCCCUGGCGUAGUGACACUUGCUGUCGCCCCGGAGUGGUCGGUCGUGCGUCAGCCGGACAACGCCCAAUUCUAUGAAAUCGACCUCGGAUCAGGUAGGACUACCCGCUGAACUUAA
rnacentral:misc_RNA from 1 species